GACCGGUAUAACGCAGUGGUAGUGCGACUGCCUGCGACGCAGAAGAUUUCGAGUUUGAUUCUCGGUGGGUCA